rnacentral:rRNA from 1 species
UCGUUCAUGCCUGGCCUAAUGAGGUGGUCCUUAACGGAUAUGGCUCGGUAAUUCUGUCAGUAAUACGUAUCAUGGCUGCACAGCCACGCCCCAAUGCACUAGGCAGGCCCUACCAUGCAGUAGGUUAAGGUUCUUCAACCGCUCCUGGUAUGUUGGGGGGGUGUCACCGGUUGACCAACCUCGCUGCAUACAGCGACUUGGGAAUAACAGUGACCGUACUAGACCCUCUGCGGAGGGCGUCGGCAAUGGACUUCAGACCUAUCAACUAGACGUCUGGGUAGCGACCAGUCGUGGUGAUAACGGGUACAGAGGAUCAGGGUUCGGUCCUGGAGAGGUAGCCUGAGAGAUCGCUACUACUUCUAAGGAAGGCAGCAGGCGCGCAACGUUCCCAAUGGGGGCUUAAGCCCUGAGGACGUAAAGGAACAUAACAAUGCCUUGUCAUAUAGACGGGGUAAUUGUAAUGGGGAAAUUUUAAACCCCCCACCGAGUAACAAUUAGAGGACAAGUCUG